AUUGAACGCUGGCGGCAGGCCUAACACAUGCAAGUCGAGCGGAUGACGGGAGCUUGCUCCUUGAUUCAGCGGCGGACGGGUGAGUAAUGCCUAGGAAUCUGCCUGGUAGUGGGGGACAACGUUUCGAAAGGAACGCUAAUACCGCAUACGGCCUACGGGAGAAAGCAGGGGACCUUCGGGCCGUGCGCUAUCAGAUGAGCCUAGGUCGGAUUAGCUAGUUGGUGGGGUAAGGGCUCACCAAGGCGACGAUCCGUAACUGGUCUGAGAGGAUGAUCAGUCACACUGGAACUGAGACACGGUCCAGACUCCUACGGGAGGCAGCAGUGGGGAAUAUUGGACAAUGGGCGAAAGCCUGAUCCAGCCAUGCCGCGUGUGUGAAGAAGGUCUUCGGAUUGUAAAGCACUUUAAGUUGGGAGGAAGGGCAGUAAGCUAAUACCUUGCUGUUUUGACGUUACCGACAGAAUAAGCACCGGCUAACUCUGUGCCAGCAGCCGCGGUAA
rnacentral:rRNA from 1 species